rnacentral:rRNA from 1 species
GGACAACAAUUAGAUCAUUUUGACCUCAAAUCA